rnacentral:rRNA from 1 species
AAUCAACGCUGGCGGCGUGCCUCAGACAUGCAAGUCGAACGCGAAAGUUUCCUUCGGGAAGCGAGUAGAGUGGCGUCCGGGUGAGUAACACGUAGGUAAUCUACCUUUGGGUGGGGAAUAACAACCGGAAACGGUUGCUAAUACCGCAUAAUGCAGCGGCACCACAUGGUGACAGUUGUUAAAGCGGGGGAGUCGCAAGACCUCGCGCCUAAAGAGGAGCCUGCGGCGGAUUAGCUAGNGGUUAAGGUAACGGCUUACCAAGGCAACGAUCCGUAGCCGGCCUGAGAGGGCGGUCGGCCACACUGACACUGAAAUACGGGUCAGACUCCUACGGGAGGCAGCAGUCGGG